UGAUCCAGCCAUGCCGCGUGCAGGAUGACGGUCCUAUGGAUUGUAAACUGCUUUUAUACGAGAAGAAACACUCCUUCGUGAAGGAGCUUGACGGUAUCGUAAGAAUAAGGAUCGGCUAACUCCGUGCCAGCAGCCGCGGUAAUACGGAGGAUCCAAGCGUUAUCCGGAAUCAUUGGGUUUAAAGGGUCCGUAGGCGGUUUGGUAAGUCAGUGGUGAAAGCCCAUCGCUCAACGGUGGAACGGCCAUUGAUACUGCCAGACUUGAAUUAUUAGGAAGUAACUAGAAUAUGUAGUGUAGCGGUGAAAUGCUUAGAGAUUACAUGGAAUACCAAUUGCGAAGGCAGGUUACUACUAAUGGAUUGACGCUGAUGGACGAAAGCGUGGGUAGCGAACAGGAUUAGAUACCCUGGUAGUCCACGCCGUAAACGAUGGAUACUAGCUGUUGGAAGCAAUUUCAGUGGCUAAGCGAAAGUGAUAAGUAUCCCACCUGGGGAGUACGUUCGCAAGAAUGAAACUCAAAGGAAUUGACGGGGGCCCGCACAAGCGGUGGAGCAUGUGGUUUAAUUCGAUGAUACGCGAGGAACCUUACCAAGGCUUAAAUGUAGAUUGACCGUUUUGGAAACAGAACUUUCGCAAGACAAUUUACAAGGUGCUGCAUGGUUGUCGUCAGCUCGUGCCGUGAGGUGUCAGGUUAAGUCCUAUAACGAGCGCAACCCCUGUUGUUAGUUGCCAGCGAGUCAUGUCGGGAACUCUAACAAGACUGCCAGUGCAAACUGUGAGGAAGGUGGGGAUGACGUCAAAUCAUCACGGCCCUUACGCCUUGGGCUACACACGUGCUACAAUGGCCGGUACAGAGAGCAGCCACUGGGCGACCAGGAGCGAAUCUAUAAAACCGGUCACAGUUCGGA
rnacentral:rRNA from 1 species